AGCAGCCGCGGUAAUUCCAGCUCCAAUAGCGUAUAUUAAAGUUGUUGCAGUUAAAAAGCUCGUAGUUGAAUUUCGGGAUCAAUGUUUCGGUCAUGCCCUUGGUAUGUACUGAUAUUAUUGGUUUCUCACCUUCUAAAGAACCGUAAUGCCAUUAAUUUGGUGUCACGGGGAAUUAGGACUGUUACCUUGAAAAAAUUAGAGUGUUUAAAGCAGGCUCACGCUUGAAUACAUUAGCAUGGAAUAAUGAAAUAGGACAUCCGAUUCUAUUUUGUUGGUUUCUAAGAUCGAUGUAAUGAUUAAUAGGGAUAGUUGGGGGCAUUAGUAUUCAAUUGUCAGAGGUGAAAUUCUUGGAUUUAUUGAAGACUAACUACUGCGAAAGCAUUUGCCAAGGAUGUUUUCAUUAAUCAAGAACGAAAGUUAGGGGAUCGAAGACGAUCAGAUACCGUCGUAGUCUUAACCAUAAACUAUGCCGACUAGGGAUCGGAUGAUGUUAAUUUUUUAAUGACUCA
rnacentral:rRNA from 1 species